UACAGAGGGGGCAAGCGUUGUUCGGAAUUACUGGGCGUAAAGGGCGCGUAGGCGGCCUGCUAAGUCGAACGUGAAAUCCCUGGGCUCAACCCAGGAACUGCGUCCGAUACUGGUUGGCUUGAAUCCAGGAGAGGUGAGUGGAAUUCCGAGUGUAGAGGUGAAAUUCGUAGAUAUUCGGAAGAACACCAGUGGCGAAGGCGGCUCACUGGACUGGUAUUGACGCUGAGGUGCGAAAGCGUGGGGAGCAAACAGG
rnacentral:rRNA from 1 species